rnacentral:rRNA from 1 species
GACGAAGGGGGCUAGCGUUGUUCGGAUUCACUGGGCGUAAAGGGUGCGCAGGUGGGUUGGCAAGUUUGAUGUGAAAGCCCCGGGCUUAACCCGGGAAUGGCAUUGAAUACUGUUGAUCUGGAGGAUCGGAGGGGGGACUGGAAUUCUUGGUGUAGCAGUGAAAUGCGUAGAUAUCAAGAGGAACACCAGUGGCGAAGGCGAGUCCCUGGACGAUACCUGACGCUGAGACGCGAAAGCGUGGGGAGCGAACAGG